UUUUGUUUUUUAGGGCAAAAUAAGUAAUUAUGUAGAAAAUGUGGAAAAAUACGAGCGAAGCCAAAAUCGAUAAGUAAAAUUUCAUUUUUGCUGAAUUUAAGCCAGACAACCAAACGAAGCAGGAUACAAAACGUAAAGCGCUUAUAUCACCGCUCAAUACCACAAGUGAAACUGGCUUGAGUCAUUUUGCCGCCUAGGCAAAGAAGCGAUAAAUUUUACUGUAAAAUGUUUUAUUAAUAUCGCCCGCUAUCGACCGUCUGAAUUACAUAAAACCCACUGAUCUGUUGCACUAUCUAAUAUUGAAACAACUAGGUAAAUAUGCUAAUUGGUAGAUAUUUCCUAGUUAUUGUUAUCGCUUUCGUUCAUACGCCGAUAAAUGUGGAAAAAAAAUUGAGAAAAAUUACGGACAGCUUUGCUUUUGGAUUUUACGAGGCACGCAGGAGAAAUCGCGUAGUUAUUCCGGCCGAUAGCACUGGCCAGAUCACUAUCGUUGCGGUGGAUUAUCUAUGAACCGACAGUGGCGCAGCCGAUCUGCAUCGCUUUGCUGGGUCAAAAGUCUAACCGUUUUCGUGGCAGGCGCUGAACUUGUUCGACUUGGCAGUAGUUUUCCAUAACUGGCUUUUAUAGAGGACACCGAUUUCGAGGAAGUAUAUAAUUAUAUAAGUAGGGAGCUUGAGCUUUUAGAACGCUUAA